CAGCCGCCACGGUAAUACGAAGGGUGCAAGCGUUAAUCGGAAUUACUGGGCGUAAAGGGUGCGUAGGCGGUUAGUUAAGUCUGUCGUGAAAUCCCCGGGCUCAACCUGGGAAUGGCGAUGGAUACUGGCUGGCUAGAGUGUGUCAGAGGAUGGUGGAAUUUCUGGUGUAGCGGUGAAAUGCGUAGAGAUCGGAAGGAACAUCAGUGGCGAAGGCGGCCAUCUGGGACAACACUGACGCUGAAGCACGAAAGCGUGGGGAGCAAACAGGAUUAGAUACCCCCGUAGUCCCUGUCUCUUAUAC
rnacentral:rRNA from 1 species